rnacentral:rRNA from 1 species
CGCUGGCGGCGUGCCUAACACAUGCAAGUCGAGCGGGGACAUACGACGGAGUCAAAGUUUCGGAUGGAGACGAAGAUGUAUGUUCUAGCGGCGGACGGGUGAGUAACGCGUGAGCAACCUGUCCCUUACAGGGGGAUAACACAGCGAAAGUUGUACUAAUACCGCAUGAGACCACGGGAGGACAUCCUCCAGGGGUCAAAGGAGCAAUCCGGUAAGGGGUGGGCUCGCGUCCGAUUAGAUAGUUGGUGAGGUAACGGCCCACCAAGUCGACGAUCGGUAGCCGACCUGAGAGGGUGAUCGGCCACAUUGGGACUGAGACACGGCCCAAACUCCUACGGGAGGCAGCAGUGGGGAAUAUUGGGCAAUGGGGGGAAACCCUGACCCAGCAACGCCGCGUGAGGGAAGAAGGUUUUCGGAUCGUAAACCUCUGUCCUUGGUGAAGAGUAAGAGACGGUAGCCAAGGAGGAAGCCCCGGCUAACUACGUGCCAGCCGCUGC